CCAAAGUCGUCGGCAAGCCGCGUUCCUUUCGCCUGUUGCCGCUCCUCUGCUCUUUGCUCCCCGCACGAGCCCACGCACAGCAAGCACACGUUGCUCCCCCAUGGCGCCAUGGCCGCUUUUAUUCCCAGCACCGCCCCUGCUGUUGGCCCUCACCGGCCGAGGGCCUCGCCACUGGCCAGCCGCCCGACCCUCGUCUGCAUAUGCGCCCAUGGACACCCUCCACUUUGCGACUCUAGUCAUCGACGACUCGCCUAGCCAACUUCAAUGGUUUCUCUUGCCAUCAAUCAUCGAUUAUGCCGGAUUAAUCUAGAAUCUAUCCUGGCAUGCAGGCACGUUGGCCUUCAGGUCUACCUCAUCAACAAAGUGGCAUAUUAAUGUUGCAAUCCCCAAGAUGAAAGUUAUACUAGAAAGGUGGAACAGUCCAAUUUGAUGAGAAUACGACCUACAAAGAGGUUAGCACACGAAGUUGUGCCUCCGGUCAUGACAGCACAAAGUUUCGGCGUCACCCAUUAGUGGAUAACUGAUCGCAGCCAUGUAUGCAGAGACUGUAGGAGCACCGAGCACCACGUAGGUGGACGUGGAUAUGCUCCAAUUCCCAGUGGACCAAGUUAGCAAUUGGAAAUGGUGAUUUCCUAUUUCUCAUGUAAAUUCGCUGGACUAAGUUCGAAUUCCAUAUUUAUAGGUCAUAAAUUCUUACUCUAGAAGUAGACAUGAGUAUGUUCUCAGAUUUUCUGACAAGGAAAUACCCUAGACGAAUACAUGUUUGUCAGAUUUUUAGGAA